UGCAGUGGAGCUCAGAGGUUAAGUGCUUGCCUGGCAUGCAUGAGGCCCUGGGUUCAAUCCCCAGCACUGGGG
rnacentral:tRNA from 1 species